rnacentral:rRNA from 1 species
CUUCUUGAAUUAAUUAGAAGUCGUGCCUGCCCACUGAAUAAUUUGUUGAAGGGCCGCGGUAUUUUGACCGUGCAAAGGUAGCAUAAUCAUUAGUCUUUUAAUUGAAGGCUGGGAUGAAUGGUUUGACGAAAUAAUAACUGUCUUUUAAAUAAGAAUUGAAGUUUACUUUUAAGUUAAAAGGCUUAAAUGUAAGUAGGGGACGAGAAGACCCUAUAGAUCUUGAUUUGUUUGUUAUUAUUUCUUUUUUGGAUGUUUUAUAAAUUAAUAAUUAAUGAAUUUUAUUGGGGUGAUAUGAGAAUAUAAAAAACUUCUUAUUAUUAUUACUUUGAUGUAUGGAUUGUUUGAUCCUUUAAUAUGGAUUUAAGAUUAAGAUACCUUAGGGAUAACAGCGUAAUUUUAUUUGAGAGUUCAUAUCGACAAUAAAGGUUGCGACCUCGAUGUUGGAUUAAGAUUAUAAGUUGGUGUAGAAGCUAAUUAUAUUGGUCUGUUC